AGGGAGCGGGGGCUGCCCACCCAUCAGUCAGAAAACCGAUCCUGGAAAACGUGAUCCCUGUAGCACCCCGGGUACCUGCUCUUGAACGGGAACGACCAGAGACAAGGCCAUUUUCCGAGCACUCCGGGGAACGCCAAGUCACACAUUUGCUGCAAAGCACGCGCCUUGGGACCACAGCACGCAAUAGGAAGCUGGUGCAGCGUGUGCCAGAGCCAGGCACUGCUGCUGCAGGGCUGAGAAGCCUGGUGCGCCGGGACCAGGGCCCCGCGGGGUGCCGGUGCGUGGCCUUUGCUCUGAGGCAGGCCUAGCGCGUGACCCAGGAGGGAGGUCCCGACACCCCCGACCUUCCUGGAUGAGCAGCGGCCAGAUAGGGAAGGCGCAGGGAGGACAGGGAGCAGGUGGCUGUGAGGAGACAGUCCGGGCCUGUCCCCAAGCGGCCCCUCCAGAGUAGGAGGCAGACCUUCCCUGUCGGCCCAGGAGCCCCUUUCUCAGGGCAGGGGGUUCUGGUGAUGUUGAAGAGUUCCCCUCACUGCUGCCGGCUGUGUGCUGUGAUUGGCUGUGUGCCGGGAUCCGCUGUGUGCCGGGAUCCGCUGGGUGCCGGGAUCCGCUGUGUGCAGAGGUGGGCUGCCCACCUUUUUACCUGAGCUCCUUCAUCUGAUCUUCCCUGCCGCCCUGGGAAGGGGUACUGCUGCCUCCCAUGCCACAGGUGACAACACGGAGGGUCCAUGAGCCCCGUAUUCAGGGCUGGCUGACUCCAAAGUGCGCUCUGAGCUGUGCACUGCUGAGAAGCCCAGGGCAGGCUCUGCCACUCCAUCACAUCAUCUGUCUGCCAGGACACAGAGGGGGAAACCGCCUUGAGGGGACAGGUGGCCCUGGGGAGGACAGGCCAGAGGCAAUCUGAAGGCAAAUCCUGUUUCGACCCAGGCGAAAGUUCCUGGUGAUCCAGGCUCUCACCAGCCGAUUGUCCCUUCCUGUCUUCCUGAGGGUGUCUGGAGCUUCAGUGUUGUGUGCUCUUGGCCUCCACGCUGGGGUGCCACCGACUCCCACUGUCCAGGGCUUCUGGUGGACUCUCCGAGGCACUGAUGCAGAAACAUCCCCAUUCGGUGCACCAAGAGCAGCCUCACACGGUGUGGGCUGACAUGAAGAGCUGCCGGAUCCAACAGGUAAAAAUCCCGAGGCAUUGCCCGCUCGAUAGGGUCAGAGAGUCCUCUUUCUAUUGUGACUCAGAUGUGAAGGGAAGAUGCCAAGGUCCCUAAAGAUCGCAGGGCCUUGCCUGGCAUGAAACAGAUAUGAAAUAAGUAUUUGUUAAAUGAAUGAACAAAUAUUCCCAGCGUGUGCUGCCCACGACCUGCCGUGCCGUGGUCAGGUGGAAGUGAUUUUACUUCAGGAGAGGACAGUGUUCUCUCCAGGGCUUUUCCUCAGUAGCUAGAUCUGCAUCCCCCUCCUCACUCUUCCCCUCUCACCCCCCAUUGUCUGCCCCCUUUUCUCUCUGUUUCCACCCUGCUGUCCCCUUACACCUGCUUUCUCCUCUUCAGCUUUCUUGGCUCAUCCCCUCCCUGUCCCCCUGCAUCCCCCAGGCUCAGGCCCCUACUCUCUCCUGGAUGGGGAGAUGUGUCUGGUUUUAGGCGGUGCCCUCUAGAUGUGUCCAGGAUGGGGAAACAUGGCUCAGUUGACAGUAUAAUGGGUUAAAAGAGUGGCCACUUUUGAAGGCCUGUCCCAUCUCCCAUUCCAGAAUCCUGUAGGACUUAGAAUUUAUGGGCCACAGUGGAAUUCUUGGUUCCCCAGGACCUUGUGGUGGAUGCCUUUUUUCCCUGAGCUUUCAUGGGGUGAGUAUUAGGUAGCAGGCCCUGCUCUGGGCUAGAGGCCCCAUAAUGAAUAAAUCUCAGGCCACUACCCCACGGAACCCACUACUGCAGGCAUUGAG
rnacentral:lncRNA from 1 species